GAUGAACGCUGGCGGCGUGCCUAAUACAUGCAAGUCGAGCGAACAGACGAGGAGCUUGCUCCUCUGACGUUAGCGGCGGACGGGUGAGUAACACGUGGAUAACCUACCUAUAAGACUGGGAUAACUUCGGGAAACCGGAGCUAAUACCGGAUAAUAUAUUGAACCGCAUGGUUCAAUAGUGAAAGACGGUUUUGCUGUCACUUAUAGCUGGAUCCGCGCCGCAUUAGCUAGUUGGUAAGGUAACGGCUUACCAAGGCGACGAUGCGUAGCCGACCUGAGAGGGUGAUCGGCCACACUGGAACUGAGACACGGUCCAGACUCCUACGGGAGGCAGCAGUAGGGAAUCUUCCGCAAUGGGCGAAAGCAUGACGGAGCAACGCCGCGUGAGUGAUGAAGGUCUUCGGAUCGUAAAACUCUGUUAUUAGGGAAGAACAAAUGUGUAAGUAACUAUGCACGUCUUGACGGUACCUAAUCAGAAAGCCACGGCUAACUACGUG
rnacentral:rRNA from 1 species